CUUAAAUAAAUAGUUAAUUAGCUAGGUUUGCUAGUUAGGCAGAUAUUUAGUUAAUUAGCCUUACCAAAUUAUUUCCUCGUUCCACAGUAAUCUGUACUGGAACCCCAGCUGCUGCUUGUUGAGUAUCCAUGCUGAAAUUCACAGAUAAAAGCAGAAAUUUAUGUAAAAAUACUAAACUAGCUCAAUAUUCCACACCUCUUAUCUCCAUAGUCUCAGAGCGCGAGAGCGUCCCCGUUUCCAUUAGCAACCAGCUGUCCUCGCGAGAUCUGAGCGGUGAGUGAGCUUCCGUUAGAGCGGCAGAAGCUGUGUUUUUAGCGCAGCUAGCUUAGUUUAUAGUUAUAAACUGUUUAUAUAGCGUUAAAAGCGAAGUAUUACAGUUCUAGAAAUAUAUAACCUUCAUAUUUACACAGAAACGCGCGGGGUCGGUGUGUAGCAGCUCGCUGUCCGGGGAAGGUUAGUUUAAACCAGACCUGCUGGAAAAUAGCGGUGGGUUAAUUCAGAUCCGGAGUGCUGUAAAAAUCCAACCCGGUAUUUCCUUACAACUGCAGGGCUGGCUACGUAUAGAGCGGAGCUGCAGCAGAGCCAGUCACACAGGUGGAACAAAAUCCUGGGAUGGAUUUUUACUUUUCGGACCUGGAUUACCCACCUGUACUGGAAAUGCAGUUUAAAGUUAUUUACAUGUAUUUAAAGCUAGGUUUUCUUCCAUAGUUAGCUUCUAAAAGGUUUUUUUGUGAUAUACACUAAUAAAUAUACCGCUGAAUAACCGUGAAAUGUAUUUUUUUCCUGUUAACAGGCAGGCCAGCUCUCUGAUAAUGUCAGUUUCUUUGGAUGAAGUUAUUAAAAUGUGCUGCACACAACAGGCAAAACUCACAGAAACCAUCAAACAGUGCAGAGAUAUCCUACACUCCAUGAAGGUUCCUGUGAUCCAUAUUAGUGAAGCUGACAGAUCAGCAAGUGUGUGUGUAAAAAAUGAAGACAUUCCUGUAAAAGAACUGCAAGAAAUCGAUCUAUUGGAACAAGUUCUAAAAAAGGCUGUGAAAGUCCGCAGCAGCUCUGCCCUGCUCAAAAACCAUGGAGCACAAUUACAAGAAAAGAAACCUGUAGAAAACAGCAAUCGAGUACCAGUCUCUAUCAAAACCACGGCUAAAGAUUCUGUUCAAAUAAAACCCAAAAAAUCAACACAGACUGGUCCUGCCAGGAGAGGACCUUCAGCUCAGACCACCGUCAGAGCGAAACCACUGGUAGCGAAACCUGCGACAGUACAGAUCUCCAGUACUGCUGUUCAAAAGUCUUCCAGCCAGAGCACCGACUCCAAAACCUCCACUGAGGAGAAGAUUAUAGCUGGACCACCGACUGACGACAUGCAGUUAAAAUCAGCAGGACAAGUGUCUCUUCCAAAAGAGCCAAUGGUGCUUUCUCCCUGGUUUCCAGUAUGGCAAGCGCAAAGGACCAAAAAGAACAGUUCCCGAAGGAUUGGCUCUCUGGACAGGUAUCAGUCAGACAGGCGGAGCUGGACUCCCUCACGCAGCUCGGACUGGACCUGAGUCACUGCUACCGCGCCUCGCUCCGGAACCAGCAGCCGCUAUCAGCCCGCGGGCCGGGCACCGAUCCAGGUACUGAAUCCAUCAGAGAGGGAGGAAGGAAUGAAUGAACGAAUAUAGCAGGAGUGUGUAGGAGGAGAGGCUGAGAGAUGAGCAUUGUGGAUAAUAUGUUCUGAUGUGUUUGUAUCAUUCUGGUUAUAGUAUGAAUUAAACUUAGCAGUACAUUAAAGAUACAUUCGUGCAAUAUAUUUCCUAAAAAGUAUCCAGCGCUGGCCUGCAUUGCUGCAUUUAGGGCUGAGUAUUGUUUUAAAACUUUUGUUACCGGUACAGACAUGAUACUUUUAAUUCGGUAUCAAAAACCAAACUAUACUUUUUUCCAUAACUUUUUCUUACUACAUUGUACAUAACUUUCUUACAUACUUUGUUCCCACACAAUGUAUUUAUUUAACAGCCGACAUGUAAUCAAUGGAAGACCAAAACUGCCCAAAUUAAAAAUAAAUAAAUAAAUAAAUAGAUAAACUAAUGAAAA
ensembl:lncRNA